AGCCCCAUAGUAUAGCGGUCAAGUAUACGAGCCUUUGAAGCUUGUGACCCAGGUUCGAAUCCUGGUGGGGCUA
rnacentral:tRNA from 1 species